GACGAACGCUGGCGGCGGGCUUAACACAUGCAAGUCGAACGAGGUCCAUCUUGUAGCAAUACAAGUGAGGACCUAGUGGCGAACGGGUGAGGAACACGUGAGAAAUUUGCCCCGAACUUUGGGAUAACAGUUGGAAACGACUGCUAAUACCGAAUGCCGUUACGAAGUGGCAUCACUUUGUAACGAAAGAAUUUCGGUUCGGGAGAAUCUCGCGGCCUAUCAGCUUGUUGGUGAGGUAACGGCUCACCAAGGCUACGACGGGUAGCUGGUCUGAGAGGAUGAUCAGCCACACUGGGACUGAGACACGGCCCAGACUCCUACGGGAGGCAGCAGUGGGGAAUCUUGUGCAAUGGACGAAAGUCUGACACAGCCACGCCGCGUGCGGGAAGAAGGCCUUCGGGUUGUAAACCGCUUUCAGCAGGAACGAAAAUGACGGUACCUGCAGAAGAAGGAGCGGCCAACUACGUGCCAGCAGCCGCGGUGACACGUAGGCUCCAAGCGUUGUCCGGAUUUAUUGGGCGUAAAGAGCUCGUAGGCGGUUCAGCAAGUCGGGUGUGAAAACUCUGGGCUCAACCCAGAGCCUGCACCCGAAACUGCUGUGACUAGAGUUCGGUAGGGGAGUGGGGAAUUCCUAGUGUAGCGGUGAAAUGCGCAGAUAUUAGGAGGAACACCGAUGGCGAAGGCACCACUCUGGGCCGAAACUGACGCUGAGGAGCGAAAGCGUGGGUAGCAAACAGGAUUAGAUACCCUGGUAGUCCACGCCGUAAACGAUGGGCACUAGGUGUGGGUCUCUAACCAACGAGAUCCGCGCCGUCGCUAACGCAUUAAGUGCCCCGCCUGGGGAGUACGGUCGCAAGACUA
rnacentral:rRNA from 1 species